CCUACGGGAGGCUGCAGUGGGGAAUAUUGGACAAUGGGCGCAAGCCUGAUCCAGCAAUGCCGCGUGUGUGAAGAAGGCCUGCGGGUUGUCAAGCACUUUAAGCAGGAAAGAAGGGGUGAAAGUUAAUACCUUUCAUCAUUGACGUUACCUGCAGAAUAAGCACCGGCUAACUCCGUGCCAGCAGCCGCGGUAAUACGGAGGGUGCUAGCGUUAAUCGGAAGUGCUUGGGGGAAAGCGCGCGUCCGUCGUGAAAGCCCUGGGCUUAACCUGGGAACUGCGGUGGAUACUGUCGGGCUAGAGUGUGGUAGAGGGGAGUGGAAUUUCCGGUGUAGCAGUGAAAUGCGUAGAGAUCGGAAGGAACACCAGUGGCGAAGGCGGCUCCCUGGACUAACACUGACGCUGAGGUGCGAAAGCGUGGGGAGCAAACAGGAUUAGAUACCCGGGUAGUC
rnacentral:rRNA from 1 species